rnacentral:rRNA from 1 species
GACGAACGCUGGCGGCGUGCUUAACACAUGCAAGUCGAACGGAAAGGCCCUGCUUUUGUGGGGUGCUCGAGUGGCGAACGGGUGAGUAACACGUGAGUAACCUGCCCUUGACUUUGGGAUAACUUCAGGAAACUGGGGCUAAUACCGGAUAGGAGCUCCUGCUGCAUGGUGGGGGUUGGAAAGUUUCGGCGGUUGGGGAUGGACUCGCGGCUUAUCAGCUUGUUGGUGGGGUAGUGGCUUACCAAGGCUUUGACGGGUAGCCGGCCUGAGAGGGUGACCGGCCACAUUGGGACUGAGAUACGGCCCAGACUCCUACGGGAGGCAGCAGUGGGGAAUAUUUCACAAUGGGCGGAAGCCUGAUGCAGCAACGCCGCGUGCGUGAUGACGGCCUUCGGGUUGUAAACCGCUUUCGCCUGUGACGAAGCGUGAGGGACGGUAAUGGGUAAAGAAGCACCGGCUAACUACGUG